rnacentral:misc_RNA from 1 species
CGAAGAACUAAAUGUCUGCACCCUGCAGAACUCUCCUAAUCUUCAUCAUCAUCGAAGUACCGCCUCUCGUUGGCGGCGUUGGCCUUCUCGAGCAUCUUGUCGAGAUCCUCCUUGAGCUUGUCGUCCCACUUGACGAGCUGAUUGACGAAUAGUGCCCCUAGCCCCAUCCCCAGCACGUGCUCCCACGGAUGGCGCAUAUAGGGGAGCUUGCGGAGGGCGUUCGAGUACAUCUGAGUGCCGAGGCCCAGGAGGGCGCCGAUCAUCGUCGUCGUCGCCGGCAUCGUUCGCUGUGGCGGAGCUUGCAAGGGCGGUCGGUG